AGCUACUUGGCGCAGGGGAAGCGCGCCGGGCUCAUAACCCGGAGGAGUAUGUUAACACCCUUGACGAAAUUCACAAGCGAUGAACUAACCUUUCAAUAGCGCCAGAUCGAAACUGGCAGUAGCUA